GCGGCGGUGCCCGAGCGGUCAAAGGGGCCGGGUUGAGGUCCCGGUGGCUAAGGGCCGUCCGGGGUUCGAAUCCCCGCCGCCGCA
rnacentral:tRNA from 1 species